GGGCCGGUCGUCCAGUGGUCAGGACGCCACCCUUACACGGUGGAUGUCAGCGGUUCGAAUCCGCUCCGGCCCA
rnacentral:tRNA from 1 species